GGGAGUGGUUGGGACUGAUCCACCUGUCUGUAUCUACUUUCUUACACGUGCAACCAACGUACUACCACUGACCAGUUCUACCGUCUCAACCCAACCUGCACUACCAUCUCAACCCUACAAUGGCCAACGUAACUCCCCCAAAGAAGAUGAAGAAACGUUCUUCUUUGAAGUUAGCAAAGAGGGCCAUGGAGUGGGAGAGAAUACUUUUCAUUCGGAAAUGGAAAAAUAUUAUCUGCCAUAUGCUGCCCCAGAUGCUGCCUCAGGGUGAACAGUCUCACGAUCCAUCAUCAUCGCCUUACUGGCUGGCAAUCCCACAGGAGCAGUGGGCACCCCCUCCUCCUGCUAGCAGUCUCGUUGCUAUAGACUGCAAAUUCCAGCAAGUCUGGCAGGAGGGGAGGUGUAAAACUGUCCUUGCGUCUGUGUGUGUGUGUCCCGUGGUGAUGUGAGCGGGGUUAUAUGGCUACUGGCGAUACCUCGAGAAAAAAAAAAGCGAGAUGAA